GGUUUUCCCGCGCAAACGCUCACGUUCACCCCCCCCACUACCAUCGUUCUCCCCUCAGCGGGCUCGCUGCCGCCGCCACGGAGGCUUCGCCGCUGCCUGCGAGGGGCGCCGGCGGCCGCCUUGGAGCGCGGCCCCGGAACGGGAAGCGCCGCGGCUGCGCCUGGCUGCCGGGCGAAGGGGGAGGAACGGAGGCCGUGGGGAGGCCUUGCGCCCCCACCUCCCCGCCCCCCGGGACGGCCCCCGCGCGCGCCGCCGCCUCGCGCCCCAGCCGCGUCCCGCGCCGUCCCUCCCCGAGGCCGCUCCCCCCCGCCCCUCACGGCGGCCGCUGCGCUGCCCCGGCCGUGGCCGGGCCCGCCCGGGCGGCCGCGGACACCGGCAGCAGCGACGGGAGGAGGAGUUGCACGGAUUCAAGAGCUUGAGGUCCAAGACACGCAAUAAGUGAUUGUAUUAUGAGUCUCACAGCAUGUCUGUUGGCAGCGCCAAGUACGUGAUCGCAGAACUGAUGCAAACAGAAGAGCGCACGGCUACACCUCUUAAACUGAUCUCAGGGAUAUUUUUACAUGCAAGUGGGUUUAUAUCGUCAUUCCUGUAAAAGCAUUUUGCAUCAUUGCACUCAUUUCACUUGAAAAAUAUUUGGGGGCUGCUCUAAUGCACUGGGAGAUACGGUAUUAACCCAGACCAGCACAACUCGCAUGCAGUGUGCAGGAGGGUGUCUGGGAACAACAGAACAGAGUGAUAAAGAGGCAUCCAUGUUUCCAGCUUUCCCUUUGUCACUGCAAAAAAGUCAUAAAGAUUCACUGGCUUCCUGGAGUUUGUUUUAGGCUUUGCCAAAGUAAACUUUUAUGUCUGUAUGGAAUUGCAUUUGGUGGGGAAAAAAGCAAUGAAGAAUUUCUUUGGGUUAUAUUAAUUGUGGACCACACUGUCUCCCAGAGAAAGAGGGCAUGAACUGAGGACCUACGGUUUUCUCAGCUGCUCUGUGACCCUGGGUAAAGGAUUUCACUAAACAUGACUGUAUUUUGACUGUCACUUAAAAUGGAAAUAAAGAUACUUUCUUGUUAAGCAAU
ensembl:lncRNA uncharacterized LOC115608121